GAAACAGACAGGAGCGGGUGGCCACC
rnacentral:piRNA from 1 species